rnacentral:rRNA from 1 species
GACGAACCGUGCAAACGUUGUUCGGAAUCACUGGGCUUAAAGGGCGCGUAGGCGGGCGCGUAAGUCAGGGGUGAAAUCCCCCAGCUCAACUGGGGAACUGCCUCUGAUACUGCGUGUCUUGAGUAAGGUAGGGGCGUGCGGAACUGAUGGUGGAGCGGUGAAAUGUGUUGAUAUCAUCAGGAACUCCGGUGGCGAAAGCGGCACGCUGGACCUUUACUGACGCUGAUGCGCGAAAGCCAGGGGAGCAAACGGG